rnacentral:rRNA from 1 species
GAGUUUGAUCCUGGCUCAGGAUGAACGCUAGCGGCAGGCUUAACACAUGCAAGUCGAGGGGUAACGGGGAAGCUUGCCUCCGCCGACGACCGGCGCACGGGUGCGUAACGCGUAUACAAUCUACCUUAUACUGGGGUAUAGCCUUUAGAAAUGAAGAUUAACCCCCCAUAGUCUCUUAGAGUGGCAUCACUUCUAGAGUAAAGGUUACGGUAUAAGAUGAGUAUGCGUUCUAUUAGUUUGUUGGUGUGGUAACGGCACACCAAGACUACGAUAGAUAGGGGCCCUGAGAGGGGGAUCCCCCACACUGGUACUGAGACACGGACCAGACUCCUACGGGAGGCAGCAGUGAGGAAUAUUGGACAAUGGAGGCAACUCUGAUCCAGCCAUGCCGCGUGCAGGAAGACUGCCCUAUGGGUUGUAAACUGCUUUUAUACAGGAAGAAACACCUCUACGUGUAGAGGCUUGACGGUACUGUAAGAAUAAGGAUCGGCUAACUCCGUGCCAGCAGCCGCGGUAAUACGGAGGAUCCAAGCGUUAUCCGGAAUCAUUGGGUUUAAAGGGUCCGUAGGUGGAUAAUUAAGUCAGAGGUGAAAUCUUGCAGCUCAACUGUAAAAUUGCCUUUGAAACUGGUUAUCUUGAGUUAUUAUGAAGUAGUUAGAAUAUGUAGUGUAGCGGUGAAAUGCAUAGAUAUUACAUAGAGUACCAAUUGCGAAGGCAGAUUACUAAUAAUCAACUGACACUGAUGGACGAAAGCGUGGGUAGCGAACAGGAUUAGAUACCCUGGUAGUCCACGCCGUAAACGAUGGUUACUAGCUGUUUGGACUUCGGUCUGAGUGGCUAAGCGAAAGUGAUAAGUAACCCACCUGGGGAGUACGUUCGCAAGAAUGAAACUCAAAGGAAUGACGGGGGCCCGCACAAGCGGUGGAGCAUGUGGUUUAAUUCGAUGAUACGCGAGGAACCUUACCAGGGCUUAAAUGUAAGUUGCAUUAGUUAGAGAUAGCUAUUUCUUCGGACCACUUACAAGGUGCUGCAUGGUUGUCGUCAGCUCGUGCCGUGAGGUGUCAGGUUAAGUCCUAUAACGAGCGCAACCCCUGUUGUUAGUUGCCAGCGAGUCAUGUCGGGAACUCUAGCAAGACUGCCAGUGCAAACUGUGAGGAAGGUGGGGAUGACGUCAAAUCAUCACGGCCCUUACGUCCUGGGCUACACACGUGCUACAAUGGUAGGUACAGAGAGCAGCCACUGCGCGAGCAGGAGCGAAUCUAUAAAACCUAUCACAGUUCGGAUCGGAGUCUGCAACUCGACUCCGUGAAGCUGGAAUCGCUAGUAAUCGGAUAUCAGCCAUGAUCCGGUGAAUACGUUCCCGGGCCUUGUACACACCGCCCGUCAAGCCAUGGAAGUUGGAAGUGCCUGAAGUCCGUCACCGUAAGGAGCGGCCUAGGGUAAAGUCGAUAACUAGGGCUAAGUCGUAACAAGGUAACC